UACGUAGGGUGCGAGCGUUGUCCGGAAUUAUUGGGCGUAAAGAGCUCGUAGGCGGUCUGUCGCGUCUGCUGUGAAAACCCGAGGCUCAACCUCGGGCCUGCAGUGGGUACGGGCAGACUAGAGUGCGGUAGGGGAGAUUGGAAUCCUGGUGUAGCGGUGGAAUGCGCAGAUAUCAGGAGGAACACCGAUGGCGAAGGCAGAUCUCUGGGCCGUAACUGACGCUGAGGAGCGAAAGCGUGGGGAGCGAACAGG
rnacentral:rRNA from 1 species